GGACAUAGCUCAGUGGUAGAGCAUCUGCUUUGCAUGCAGAAGGUCCCAGAUUCAAAUUCUGGCAUCUCCA